rnacentral:rRNA from 1 species
GAUUCGUCACACUAUCAUUAACUGAAUCCAUAGGUUAAUGAGGCGAACCGGGGGAACUGAAACAUCUAAGUACCCCGAGGAAAAGAAAUCAACCGAGAUUCCCCCAGUAGCGGCGAGCGAACGGGGAGGAGCCCAGAGCCUGAAUCAGCAUGUGUGUUAGUGGAAGCGUCUGGAAAGGCGCGCGAUACAGGGUGACAGCCCCGUACACAAAAGCGCAUGUGCUGUGAGCUCGAUGAGUAGGGCGGGACACGUGGUAUCCUGUCUGAAUAUGGGGGGACCAUCCUCCAAGGCUAAAUACUCCUGACUGACCGAUAGUGAACCAGUACCGUGAGGGAAAGGCGAAAAGAACCCCGGCGAGGGGAGUGAAAAAGAACCUGAAACCGUGUACGUACAAGCAGUGGGAGCACCCUUCGGGGUGUGACUGCGUACCUUUUGUAUAAUGGGUCAGCGACUUAUAUUCUGUAGCAAGGUUAACCGUAUAGGGGAGCCGGAGGGAAACCGAGUCUUAAUUGGGCGUUAAGUUGCAGGGUAUAGACCCGAAACCCGGUGAUCUAGCCAUGGGCAGGUUGAAGGUUGGGUAACACUAACUGGAGGACCGAACCGACUAAUGUUGAAAAAUUAGCGGAUGACCUGUGGCUGGGGGUGAAAGGCCAAUCAAACCGGGAGAUAGCUGGUUCUCCCCGAAAGCUAUUUAGGUAGCGCCUCGUGAAUUCAUCUCCGGGGGUAGAGCACUGUUUCGGCUAGGGGGCCAUCCCGGCUUACCAACCCGAUGCAAACUGCGAAUACCGGAGAAUGUUAUCACGGGAGACACACGGCGGGUGCUAACGUCCGUCGUGAAGAGGGAAACAACCCAGACCGCCAGCUAAGGUCCCAAAGUCAUGGUUAAGUGGGAAACGAUGUGGGAAGGCCCAGACAGCCAGGAUGUUGGCUUAGAAGCAGCCAUCAUUUAAAGAAAGCGUAAUAGCUCACUGGUCGAGUCGGCCUGCGCGGAAGAUGUAACGGGGCUAAACCAUGCACCGAAGCUGCGGCAGCGAACGUAUCACCCAAGACAACUUUACGGAGUUGACGAUUGACGGAGCGAAGCGACGUCAAAGCGUUCAUUAAAGUCGAGUUGGCUUAGGGAUACGUUCGUUGGGUAGGGGAGCGUUCUGUAAGCCUGUGAAGGUGUGUCGUGAGGCAUGCUGGAGGUAUCAGAAGUGCGAAUGCUGACAUAAGUAACGAUAAAGCGGGUGAAAAGCCCGCUCGCCGGAAGACCAAGGGUUCCUGUCCAACGUUAAUCGGGGCAGGGUGAGUCGACCCCUAAGGCGAGGCCGAAAGGCGUAGUCGAUGGGAAACGGGUUAAUAUUCCCGUACUUGGUGUUACUGCGAAGGGGGGACGGAGAAGGCUAUGUUGGCCGGGCGACGGUUGUCCCGGUUUAAGCGUGUAGGUGUGUGUUCCAGGUAAAUCCGGUUCACUUUAACACUGAGGCGUGACGACGAGGCACUACGGUGCUGAAGCAACAAAUGCCCUGCUUCCAGGAAAAGCCUCUAAGCAUCAGGUAACAUCAAAUCGUACCCCAAACCGACACAGGUGGUCAGGUAGAGAAUACCAAGGCGCUUGAGAGAACUCGGGUGAAGGAACUAGGCAAAAUGGUGCCGUAACUUCGGGAGAAGGCACGCUGACACGUAGGUGAAGUGAUUUACUCAUGGAGCUGAAGUCAGUCGAAGAUACCAGCUGGCUGCAACUGUUUAUUAAAAACACAGCACUGUGCAAACACGAAAGUGGACGUAUACGGUGUGACGCCUGCCCGGUGCCGGAAGGUUAAUUGAUGGGGUCAGCGCAAGCGAAGCUCCUGAUCGAAGCCCCGGUAAACGGCGGCCGUAACUAUAACGGUCCUAAGGUAGCGAAAUUCCUUGUCGGGUAAGUUCCGACCUGCACGAAUGGCGUAAUGAUGGCCAGGCUGUCUCCACCCGAGACUCAGUGAAAUUGAACUCGCUGUGAAGAUGCAGUGUACCCGCGGCAAGACGGAAAGACCCCGUGAACCUUUACUAUAGCUUGACACUGAACAUUGAGCCUUGAUGUGUAGGAUAGGUGGGAGGCUUUGAAGUGUGGACGCCAGUCUGCAUGGAGCCGACCUUGAAAUACCACCCUUUAAUGUUUGAUGUUCUAACGUGGACCCGUAAUCCGGGUUGCGGACAGUGUCUGGUGGGUAGUUUGACUGGGGCGGUCUCCUCCUAAAGAGUAACGGAGGAGCACGAAGGUUGGCUAAUCCUGGUCGGACAUCAGGAGGUUAGUGCAAUGGCAUAAGCCAGCUUGACUGCGAGCGUGACGGCGCGAGCAGGUGCGAAAGCAGGUCAUAGUGAUCCGGUGGUUCUGAAUGGAAGGGCCAUCGCUCAACGGAUAAAAGGUACUCCGGGGAUAACAGGCUGAUACCGCCCAAGAGUUCAUAUCGACGGCGGUGUUUGGCACCUCGAUGUCGGCUCAUCACAUCCUGGGGCUGAAGUAGGUCCCAAGGGUAUGGCUGUUCGCCAUUUAAAGUGGUACGCGAGCUGGGUUUAGAACGUCGUGAGACAGUUCGGUCCCUA